rnacentral:lncRNA from 1 species
AUACGUAUGAUAAUUACUUUAACCAGGUGCUUCUCAUAGUUAAACUCUACCACUAUUCAUAGGUUUAGUAUUUAGUGAUGCAGUUAAAUUUGGGUGCUCUUCGUAAGGGCAAUCAGACUUUUGCCCAAUUUUUUGGAUGAAAACAAGAUGGUCUUCACUAUGGAAAAAAUAAAUUUUAAGCUCUAAAGGGUGAGAGAAAGGGCAGAACUGAGCACAAUCAAAAACAUUUCAAGCUGUUACUUGAGAAAAGGAACAACCUUCAAAACAUACCUUCAGAAGCAUUUGCAUCCUCCUCGAACUUAGAGUCAUGUCCAGAAUCCCUUGUGGGAUGAAUAACGUCGUCAUGGUCCAGUGUUCUGUCCCUUCUCUUGGAGCCAGCCAAGUCAGGCAAAGAGUCACCAACUUCGGGGACUUUUUCCUCACUAUCGUUUUCGAGAAGGCCAUCUGACUGAAUUUGUUUUUCUGAAGUUACAGGUUUUUGUUCAGAAAUACUACUUUUUUCUGUAUUUUGGUUUCCACCUAAAAGAGGCCUGAUUGGCAUCUCCAAAGAACUUGUCGUGGCAGAUCUCUCAAUCCGAGAAAAGGAGUAUGACCUGAGAUCCGGUAACGAGAGGAUCCUUCCCAGGCAUACAGGACUGCCAUCCAGAGGUGAAUGGGUCCCUGUUGUUUUCAACUCUGAUCGAUCGGGCGUGCGACUGUUUUCUUCUCUGUUAAAACAUAACUCAAGUAGUGGGUUAUAUCUACUUAAUGAUUCAUUGAAAGAUGAUAUUCUUCUAAUGCCGUGCAGUCCAAUCUUGCCAACUGCAGAAUUUUGCUCGUUCCAAGAACCACUCCAACUCCGAGGAAUGCAUUUAUUCCAAUUCAAUGUAACUACAUCCUUGUUUACGUCAUCCUCUUCCUUAGUAUCUUUUGGAUACCCGUAAGGAAUUUUAUGGAGGACUGCAUCCAUGACAAUUCUUUGCCUCUCCUUUCUGCUCUCCUUGAUUGCAUGUUUGAUUUUUUGCCUAAGAUUUUUGAAGCGUUUCAUGAUAAGUUUAUUCAUAUGAUGGGUCUUGAACUCCUUCAGUGAAUCUAAAGAAGCAUUAUCCUGGGGACAGAGCUGUUUUGGGUCUUCCGCCUCCGUGCAUUUGCCUUUUUUAAUUGCCAAAAUCUGGUCCAGGUCUUGAGAUGCUAAUGCAUUCGAAGUUAGGUCCUCUUCAGUUUGAGAUUUACGUUCCCCUUCUUUACAAGUUCCCAAUUCCUUCUUGCACCUGGGACUGUUGGAUGCAGAAGGUCUUUCGCCUGAGGAGCCAGGCAC